GGAAGAAAGAGCAACAAUUAAGUUUUGUGUAAAAUUAAUGAAAACAGGUACUGAAACGCUUGAAAUGUGUGAAAAAAGUGUAUAGUGCAACAGGAUGCAUAAAUAUAAUAUAGAAGAAUGUUUAUCGAGAACAAGAGUGUCUGAAUGGUAUAAAAGUUUGAAAGACAGGCGAGAGUUGUUACAAGAAGAUGAAUGGAAAGACUGUCCUUCAGCUUCCAAAACAGAAGAAUCGACGGAAGGCGUUCAAAAGUGUUUGGCCAAAGAUCAGACUUUGAGUGUUUGGAUGUUAGAAGAGGGAACAGCAGAGGGACAGUACAUAAGAUAUUAGUCAAAGAUUUGAAAAAGAAUGAAGUGUGUGUGCCCAUUUUGUUCCUCAUUUGUUAAUGCCACAUCAAAAACAUCAGCGCCCCUUAUCAUCUGUUGAAUUUGUUGAAAUGAUUGUUUAUAAUAGAAAUGUUUUAAAAAUGAUUGUAAUGGGUGAUGAAAGUUGGUGUUUCAUGUAUGGUCCAGAAACAGAAUGUCAAGAGUGCAACUUGACUGAGUCCAAAGAAACCAAAAGCUCAGAAAGUGAGAAUGCAAGAAUCAUGGAUGAAAACAAUGUUGGCUGCAUUUUUUUAUGCUCAAGGUAUCAUUCAUCAUGUAUUUGUACCAGAAAAACAGAUUGUAAAUGGUAAAUUUUAUAAA